ACUGCCCCUGCAGACAUCACAGGAAUUGCUGUUGUGUCACAUGUGCAUCAGUGGGGGCAGAGAGGAGAAAAGUUGUGCCAGUGUUCUGACCUGUGAACAACUGAAUGCUAGUAGCCUAACAUU
rnacentral:snoRNA from 1 species